ensembl:snRNA U6 U6 spliceosomal RNA
GUGCUCACUUUGGCAGCACAUAUACUAAAAUUGGAAUGAUACACAGAAGAUUAGCAUGGCCCUGCACAAGGAUGACACACAAAUCUGUGAAGUGUUCCAUAUUUUU